rnacentral:misc_RNA from 1 species
AUGAAAAUAUGGGGAAACAGUAGGCUCCUUUAAAUUAAAUCCACAGGUUGUCAAUAUAUAGUGUGCCAAUGUUGGAAUAACUGCGAAAAAGCAACACUAGAUCUCAUCUGAUAGCAACAUUUAAGAGGACAACCAUAAAUCUCAUAUAAUUGUGACUUUCAAAAGACAACUAUAUAGUUCUUUCUUUUGUGGGAAGGCUACAACUAUGAGGUUUCUACAUCAGUUUAAUGAUUUAAGACAUGAACAAGCUACAAAAUAACAGGUAAUCAAUAAAAACAAGUUCAAAUAUGUUUCAAACAAACAACAAAACAUACCAGUCUUUUCAGUAAUAAGGGAGGGGUGUGGACGUACAGAACUCUUCUUUCAUUGCAA